rnacentral:lncRNA from 1 species
ACCCCCCCCCACCUCAGACCUCGCCACCACCUCCCUCCUCCUCCUCCUCCUCCUCGCCUCCUGAGGGGCCACGCACGAGCCCGUGUCCCGUGUCCCUCAUCCCACCUCCUGCAUCCCAUGUCCCAUGUCCUGCAUCCCAUGUACCACAUCCCAUGUCCCAUAUCCUGUGUCCUGCAUCCCGUGUACCACAUCCCAUGUCCUGCAUCCCAUGUCCCAUGUGCCACAUCCUGCAUCCCAUGUACCUCAUCCCAUGUCCCAUGUACCACAUCCCGUGUCCUGCAUCCCAUAUCCCGUGUCCUGCAUCCCAUAUCCCACAUCCCACCUCCUGCAUCCCGUGUCCUGCAUCCCGUGUCCCAUGUACCACAUCUCGUGUCCCAUGUACCACAUCUCCCAUGUCCUGCAUCCCAUGUCCCAUGUCCUGCAUCCUGUGUCCCAUGUCCCACAUCCCGUGUACCACAUCCCAUGUCCCAUGUACCACAUCCCAUGUCCUGCAUCCCAUGUCCCGCAUCCCACAUCCUGCAUCCUGUGUCCUGCAUCCCAUGUACCUCAUCCCAUGUCCCAAGUCCCACAUCCCAUGUCCCCCAUCUCCUGUGUCCUGCAUCCCGUGUCCCACAUGCCACGUCCCACGUCCUGCAUCCUGUGUCCCACGCAAAACAUCCCAUGUCCUACAUCCCAUAUCCCACGUACUGUGUACCAUGUCCCAUGUCCUGCAUCCCAUGUCCCGCAUCCCACAUCCUGCAUCCUGUGUCCUGCAUCCCAUGUACCUCAUCCCAUGUCCCAAGUCCCACAUCCCAUGUCCCCCAUCUCCUGUGUCCUGCAUCCCGUGUCCCACAUCCCAUGUCCCACGUCCUGCAUCCUGUGUCCCACGCACCACAUCCCAUGUCCCACAUCCCAUAUCCCACGUCCUGUGUACCAUGUCCCAUGUCCUGCAUCCCAUGUCCUGCAUCCCACAUCCCGUGUCCCACGUCCUGCAUCCUGUGUCCCACGUCCUGUGUCUCAAGUCCUGCAUCCCACAUCCCGUCCCGUGUCCUGCAUCCUGCAGCCCGUGUCCCAUGUACCACAUCCUGUGUCCUGCAUCCCAUGUCCCGUGUCCUGCAUCCCAUGUACCACAUUCCAUGUCUCUUAUUCCACAUCCUGUGUCCCACGUCCCGUCCCAUGUCCUGCAUCCCAUGUCCCAUGUACCUCAUCCCAUGUCCCAUGUACCACAUCCCGUGUCCUGCAUCCCAUAUCCCGUGUCCUGCAUCCCAUAUCCCACAUCCCACCUCCUGCAUCCCGUGUCCUGCAUCCCGUGUCCCAUGUACCACAUCUCGUGUCCCAUGUACCACAUCUCCCAUGUCCUGCAUCCCAUGUCCCAUGUCCUGCAUCCUGUGUCUCGUGUCCCACAUCCCGUGUACCACAUCCCAUGUCCCAUGUCCUGUGUCCUGCAUCCCAUGUACCUCAUCCCAUGUCCCACACCCCGUGUCCUGCAUCCCAUAUCCCGUGUCCUGCAUCCCAUAUCCCACAUCCCACCUGCUGCAUCCCGUGUCCUGCAUCCCGUGUCCCAUGUACCACAUCCCCUGUCCCAUGUACCACAUCUCCCAUGUCCUGCAUCCCAUGUCCCAUGUCCUGCAUCCUGUGUCCCAUGUCCCACAUCCCGUGUACCACAUCCCAUGUCCCAUGUACCACAUCCCAUGUCCUGCAUCCCAUGUCCCGCAUCCCACAUCCUGCAUCCUGUGUCCUGCAUCCCAUGUACCUCAUCCCAUGUCCCAAGUCCCACAUCCCAUGUCCCCCAUCUCCUGUGUCCUGCAUCCCGUGUCCCACAUCCCAUGUCCCACGUCCUGCAUCCUGUGUCCCACGCACCACAUCCCAUGUCCCACAUCCCAUAUCCCACGUCCUGUGUACCAUGUCCCAUGUCCUGCAUCCCAUGUCCUGCAUCCCACAUCCCGUGUCCCACGUCCUGCAUCCUGUGUCCCACGUCCUGUGUCUCAAGUCCUGCAUCCCACAUCCCGUCCCGUGUCCUGCAUCCUGCAGCCCGUGUCCCAUGUACCACAUCCUGUGUCCUGCAUCCCAUGUCCCGUGUCCUGCAUCCCAUGUCCCACAUCCCUGCAUUCCGUGUCCUGCAUCCCAUGUCCCAUGUACCACAUCCUGUGUCCUGCAUCCCAUGUCCCGUGUCCUGCAUCCCACGUCCCACAACCCGUGUCCCACAUCCCGUGUCCCAUGUCCACCCCAUGUUCCACAUCCCAUGUCCCACGUCCUGCAUCCCGUGUCUUAUGUCCCGUGUCCUGCAUCCAUCCCAUGUUCCGCAUCCCACAUCCCAUGUCCCACGUCCUGCAUCCUGUCCCAUGCACCACAUCCCGUGUCCCACAUCCCAUAUCCCACGUCCUGUGUACCAUGUCCCAUGUCCUGCAUCCUGUGUCCCACAUCCCGUGUCCUGCGUCCCACAUCCUGUGUCUCAAGUCCUGCAUCCCAUGUCCCACAUCCCAUGUCUCAGAUCCCACAUCCCAUGUCCCAUGUCCUGCAUCCUGUGUCUUGCAUCCCACGUCCCAUGUCCCACGUCCAUCUCGCAUCCCACAUCCCAUGUCCCAUGUCCUGCAUCCUGUGUCCCAUGUCCCGUGUCCCAUAUCCCAUGUCCUGCGUCCCAUGUCCUGCGUCCAUCCCAUGUUCCGCAUCCCACAUGCCAUGUCCCAUGUCCUGCAUCCUGUGUCCCACAUCCCAUAUCCCAUGUCCUGUGUACCAUGUCCCAUGUCCUGCAUCCCAUGUACCACGUCCUGCAUCGCCUGUCCCGUGUCCCACAUCCUGCAUCCUAUGUCCCAUGUCCCGUGUCCCAUGUCCUGUGUCCUGCGUCCCACAUCCUCUGUCUCAAGUCCUGCAUCCCAUGUCCCACAUCCCAUGUCCCACAUCCCGUGUCCCACAUCCCGUGUCCUGCAUCCCACAUCCCGUCCUGUGUCCUGCAUCCCAUGUCCCACAACCCGUGUCCUGCAUACUGUGUCCCAUGUCCACCCCAUGUUCCGCAUUCCACAUCCCAUGUCCCAUGUCCUGCAUCCUGUGUCCCAUGUCCACCCCAUGUUCCGCAUUCCACAUCCCAUGUCCCAUGUCCUGCAUCCUGUGUCCCACGUCCAUCCCAUGUUCCGCAUCCCACAUCCCAUGUCCCACGUCCUGCAUCAUGUGUCCCACGUCCCGUGUCCCAUGUCCUGCAUCCCAUGUCCCAUGUCCUUCAUCCUGUGUCCUAUGUCCAUCCCAUGUUCCGCAUCCCAUGUCCCACGUCCUGCAUCCUGUGUCCCACGUCCUGCAUCCCAUGUCUGUGUCUCAAGUCCUGCAUCCCAUGUCCCACAUCCCGUGUCUCGUAUCCCACAUCCCAUGUCCCAUGUCCUGCGUCCCACAUACCAUCCCGUGUCCUGUGUCCCGCAUCCCAUGUCCCAUGUACCACAUCCCAUGUUCAUCUCACAUCCCAUGUCCCGUGUUCCACGUCCCACAACCCGUGUCCCACAUCCCGUGUCCCAUGUCCCACCUCCUGCAUCUUGUGUCCCACAUCCCGUGUCCCAUGUACCACAUCCCGUGUCCUGCAUCCCAUGUACCAUGUCCCGCAUCUCCUGUGUCCUGCAUCCCAUGUCCCACGUCCUGCAUCCUGUCCCAUGCACCACAUCCCGUGUCCCACACCCCAUAUCCCAUGUCCUGUGUACCAUGUCCCAUAUCCCACAUCCCGUGUCCCAUGUCCCAUGUCCUGCAUCCCGUGUCCCACGUCCCACGUCCUGCAUCCCGUGUCCCACGUCCAUCCUGUGUCCCGCAUCCCCUGUCCCAUGUCCCACGUCCUGCAUCCCACAUCCCAUGUCCCGUGUCCCAUGUCCCACAAACCACAUCCCACGUCCCGUGUCCCGCAUCCUGUGUCCCACGUCCAUCCCACAUCCCGUGUCCCACGUCCUUCAUCCUGUGUCCCACGUCCCACAUCCCACGUCCCGUGUCCUUCAUCCUGUGUCCAAUGUCCAUCCCAUGUUCCGCAUCCCACAUCCCAUGUCCCAUGUCCUGCAUCCUGUGUCCCACGUCCCAUGUCCUGCAUCCUGUGUCCAAUGUCCAUCCCAUGUUCCGCAUCCCAUGUCCCACGUCCUGCAUCCUGUGUCCCAUGUCCUGCAUCCCAUGUCUGUGUCUCAAGUCCUGCAUCCCAUGUCCCACAUCCCGUGUCUCGUAUCCCACAUCCCAUGUCCCAUGUCCUGCGUCCCACAUACCAUCCCGUGUCCUGUGUCCCGCAUCCCGUGUCCCAUGUACCACAUCCCAUGUUCAUCUCACAUCCCAUGUCCCGUGUUCCACGUCCCACAUCCCGUGUCCCGCAUCCCACAUCCCAUGUCCCACCUCCUGCAUCCUGUGUCCCACGUCCCAUGUCCCAUGUACCACAUCCCGUGUCCUGCAUCCUGUGUCCCACGUCCAUCCCAUGUUCCGCAUCCCACAUCCUGCAUCCCACAUCCUGCAUCCCGUGUCCUGCAUCCCGUGUCCUGUGUCCAUCCCAUGUCCCGUGUCCCAUGCACCACAUCCCAUGUCCCAUGUCCUGCAUCCUGAGGGGAGAAGAACCUGAUGGAGUUCAACCAGGGCAAGUGUUGGGUGCUGCCCCUGGGGAGGAAGAACCCCCCAAAACCAGGACAGGUUGGGGGUGACCUUGGAGUCCUGGGGGACAACAGGGUGCCCAGGAGCCAGCAAUGGGCCCUGGUGGCCAAGGAGGCCAAUGGCAUCCUGGGGGGCAUCAGGAAGAGCGUGGAGAACCUCAAGGGAGGUCAUCCUGCCCCUCUGCUCUGCCCUGGGGAGGCCCCAGCUGGAGCACUGGGACCAGUUGUGGGCUCCCCAGUUCCCACAUCCCGCAUCCCGUGUCCCACAUCCAUCCCACAUCCCAUGUCCCAUGUACCACGGCCCGUGUCCUGCAUCCUGUGUCCCACGUCCAUCCCAUGUUCCGCAUCCCACAUCCCAUGUCCCACGUCCUGCAUCAUGUGUCCCACGUCCCGUGUCCCAUGUCCUGCAUCCCAUGUCCCAUGUCCUUCAUCCUGUGUCCUAUGUCCAUCCCAUGUUCCGCAUCCCAUGUCCCACGUCCUGCAUCCUGUGUCCCACGUCCUGCAUCCCAUGUCUGUGUCUCAAGUCCUGCAUCCCAUGUCCCACAUCCCGUGUCUCGUAUCCCACAUCCCAUGUCCCAUGUCCUGCGUCCCACAUACCAUCCCGUGUCCUGUGUCCCGCAUCCCAUGUCCCAUGUACCACAUCCCAUUUCCACCCCAAAAUCAUUCCAGGGCCCUGGCUCUUACUUGAGCAGCUUGAAGUAGGCGAAUCGGAAGGUCUCCUGCAGCAGGACGGAGACGGAGGCCCCGAAGAGGAGGAGCCCGCGCUGCAGACGAGCGUCCUCCCGGUCACUGAGCUGCACCGACACGAACCACACCAGGGAGGCCAGGAGCAGGGACACCAGCCAGAAGAAGGCCCUGGGGGGGGUCGGGGGGGGACACACGGACAUGGGGGACACAGACACACGGACACACACGGACACACAAGAACAGGGGGUUCAGGCCACGGAGCUGGGAAUCGCCCGGAAAACGCUGGGGGGAUCGG